AAGAUCAUACUUCACAGGAUCAUUUCUGUAGUAUAUCUUCACAUACUCUCUUCUCACAAGAUGAGUUUUCGCAACCAUGAGGAUGAGACACAGUCUCAUUUCCUGAGCGUGAGAAAUUGCUCAGAUCUAUCUCAUGAUUAAUCUGUGGCCUUCGAUGAUCGUUCGACCUGUCUUGGACGGGGUGUGGAAAUGAGUCAGUCUGAGUGGU
rnacentral:snoRNA from 13 species